UGAGUUCCAAAAUCUUCUUUU
rnacentral:piRNA from 1 species